AAGCUGAAGCCCUUCAUCUCUAGAGAAGCUGCAGCUUUGGCAGUAGCUGCCAGGCUGUCCCGAGACUGGGCCUCAGCAUGACCCAUCUUAGAAGUGUUGCCUCGAAGGAGAGAGUAUAACAAGUGGUGAAGCUCAUGGGAAAUGCAUCAGUUCUCAUUCCGAGUCUGGCUGACAAAGAUAUGAACACUUAAUUAAGAUUUCUUUCAUCUCAUGAAAAUAGCCCUGAAGAUCUGAGCCUGACACGAGAGCUGCCAGCAAGAAUAGCAAAAGCAAAGUUUCCAGCUGUGGAAGAUCUUCAUUCAAGAACUUGCCCUCACAAACCAUCACACUUCUUUAAAUUGGGAGUGGGAUGUGGGUGCUUCCAAGUGGAUGACCUAACUCAAGCAAGAAACUCUUCUGACCCAUUCUCAUCCUUUGAAGUCCUCUCUCACGUAUGGAGAGACCUAUGGGAGGGAGAGCCUCUCUGCUCUGCAGGAACAGUGGAAUCAGUUGUGAAUGUUGCAGAAACAGUUGGCUUAGGCUUCCCAACAUGCCAUCUGUGAGCAAACAGAUUUUUUAGAUGACUGAUUCCAACAAAAUGCACAUUCUUUUUAUAUUUAUUUACAUACUUACAUGUAUAUUGAUUAAAAUCAGUCCAGUUUUGUUACGUUAAGUCAGUCUGUUGAUAAUUAAGCAUCUGUGCACGGGGAACAUU
rnacentral:lncRNA from 1 species